GACGAACGCUGGCGGCGUGCUUAACACAUGCAAGUCGAACGGAAAGGCCCUGCUUUUGUGGGGUGCUCGAGUGGCGAACGGGUGAGUAACACGUGAGUAACCUGCCCUUGACUUUGGGAUAACUUCAGGAAACUGGGGCUAAUACCGGAUAGGAGCUCCUGCUGCAUGGUGGGGGGUGGAAAGUUUCGGCGGUUGGGGAUGGACUCGCGGCUUAUCAGCUUGUUGGUGGGGUAGUGGCUUACCAAGGCUUUGACGGGUAGCCGGCCUGAGAGGGUGACCGGCCACAUUGGGACUGAGAUACUGCCCAGACUCCUACGGGAGGCAGCGGUGGGGAAUAUUGCACAAUGGGCUGAAGCCUGAUGCAGCAACGCCGCGUGCGGGAUGACGGCCUUCGGGUUGUAAACCGCUUUCGCCUGUGACGAAGCGUGAGUGACGGUAAUGGGUAAAGAAGCACCGGCUAACUACGUG
rnacentral:rRNA from 1 species